UGCCUAACACAUGCAAGUCGAACGAGAAAGCCGAAAGCUUGCUUUUGGCGAGUAGAGUGGCGCACGGGCGAGUAACGCGUGGGUAAUCUGCCUUCGAACCGGGGAUAACACUUCGAAAGGGGUGCUAAUACCGGAUGACAUCCAGGUGUCUUCGGGCGUCUGGAUCAAAGAUGGCCUCUCCAUGGAAGCUGUUGUUCGAAGAUGAGCCCGCGUCCCAUUAGCUUGUUGGUGGGGUAAAGGCCCACCAAGGCGACGAUGGGUAGCUGGUCUGAGAGGAUGAUCAGCCACACUGGCACUGACACACGGGCCAGACUCCUACGGGAGGCAGCAGUGAGGAAUUUUGCGCAAUGGGGGUAACCCUGACGCAGCAACGCCGCGUGAGUGAAGAAGGCCUUCGGGUCGUAAAGCUCUGUCGAGUGGGAAGAACCCGCAUCAGGUGACAAGGCUGAUGCGCUGACGGUACCACUGGAGGAAGCACCGGCUAACUCCGUGCCAGCAGCCGCGGUAAUACGGAGGGUGCAAGCGUUAUUCGGAAUUACUGGGCGUAAAGGGCGCGCAGGCGGCCUGGUAAGUCAGUAGUGAAAGCCCGGGGCUCAACCCCGGAAGUGCUGCUGAAACUGUUGGGCUUGAGUAUGGUACAGGGAAGCGGAAUUCCUGGUGUAGCGGUGAAAUGCGUAGAUAUCAGGAGGAACACCGGUGGCGAAGGCGGCUUCCUGGCUUGAUACUGACGCUGAGGUGCGAAAGCGUAGGUAGCGAACGGGAUUAGAUACCCCGGUAGUCUACGCUGUAAAUGAUGGGCACUGGAUGGUGGAGGCGCUGAUAGCUUUCUCCGUCGAAGCAAAUGCGUUAAGUGCCCCGCCUGGGGAGUACGGUCGCAAGAUUAAAACUCAAAGGAAUUGACGGGGGCCCACACAAGCGGUGGAGGAUGCGGCUUAAUUCGAGGACACGCGUAAAACCUUACCGAGGUUUGACAUGUAGGGAUUAAUCCGGUGAAAGCCGGUGGAUUGCCUUACGGUGUAACCUACACAGGUGCUGCAUGGCUGUCGACAGUUCGUGUCGUGAGAUGUUAGGUUAAGUCCUGAAACGAGCGAAACCCCUGUGCUUAAUUGCCAGCGCGUUAUGGCGGGGACAUUAGGCAGACUGCCUCGGCUAACGGGGAGGAAGGUGGGGACGACGUCAAGUCAGCAUGGCCCUUAUACCUCGGGCUGCACGCGUCCUACAAUGGGCAGUACAAACAGGACCGAUCCCGCGAGGGGGAGGAAAUCUCUAAAGCUGCUCUCAGUUCGGAUUGCAGGCUGAAACCCGCCUGCAUGAAGGUGGAAUCGCUAGUAAUCGCCGGUCAGCUAUACGGCGGUGAAUCCGUCCCUGGGCCUUGUACACACCGCCCGUCAAGCCACCCGAGUUGGGCGCACUCGAAGUCCGAGACUCAACCGUUUACGGAGAGAUCGGCCGAAGGUGAUCCUGAUGA
rnacentral:rRNA from 1 species